UGAACGCUGACAGAAUGCUUAACACAUGCAAGUCUUUGGCGAAGCUGUGCUUGCACAGCCUAGCCAAGGCGGACGGGUGAGUAACGCGUAAGGAACUUGCCCUGCAGUCAGGGAUAACAGACGGAAACGACUGAUAAGACCUGGUAAAGUCAGGCGGACUCAUGUCCAGCCUGAUGAAAAGAGAUGCUGCAGGAGAGCCUUGCGUCCUAUUAGCUUGUUGGUGGGGUAACGGCCCACCAAGGCGAUGAUAGGUAGCCGGCCUGAGAGGGUGGACGGCCACAAGGGGACUGAGAUACGGCCCUUACUCCUACGGGAGGCAGCAGUGGGGAAUAUUGGACAAUGGGGGCAACCCUGAUCCAGCAAUUCUGUGUGCACGAUGAAGGUUUUCGGAUUGUAAAGUGCUUUCAGCAGGGAAGAAAAAAUGACGGUACCUGCAGAAGAAGCGACGGCUAAAUACGUG
rnacentral:rRNA from 1 species